rnacentral:lncRNA from 1 species
CAGUGGUCAUUGUUAGUAUUAGCUUUAUUUAAAGUAAGUUCAACAGAGUAAAUUUCUAUACAUACUGAAGUCGUCAUUAUUGAGAGCUAAUAUAUCAUCCAAAUAUCUAAAAGUAAUGUUUAAUUUUUGUGUCAAAUGUUGUUUUGAUGGGUCUUUGCUAAUUCUAGUCAUAAAUUGUAACUCAUAACAAUACAAAAACAGGUCCGCAAU